GACGAACGCUGGCGGCGUGCUUAACACAUGCAAGUCGAACGGAAAGGCCCUGCUUGCCGGGUACUCGAGUGGCGAACGGGUGAGUAACGCGUGGGUGAUCUGCCCUGCACUUCGGGAUAAGCCUGGGAAACUGGGUCUAAUACCGGAUAGGAGCCAUUUUUAGUGUGAUGGUUGGAAAGUUUUUUCGGUGUAGGAUGAGCUCGCGGCCUAUCAGCUUGUUGGUGGGGUAAUGGCCUACCAAGGCGGCGACGGGUAGCCGGCCUGAGAGGGUGGACGGCCACAUUGGGACUGAGAUACGGCCCAGACUCCUACGGGAGGCAGCAGUGGGGAAUAUUGCACAAUGGGCGCAAGCCUGAUGCAGCGACGCCGCGUGGGGGAUGACGGCCUUCGGGUUGUAAACUCCUUUCGCUAGGGACGAAGCUUUUUGUGACGGUACCUAGAUAAGAAGCACCGGCUAACUACGU
rnacentral:rRNA from 1 species